CAAAAACUGUGUCCUGUGUUCAUUUAUUUUUUUUAAACCAGUCAUACUUUUUAUUUAUUUUUUUAGAAUUUGUUUUUGUUUUUAGUUAUUGAUUUUUACUUACUCUUUUACUUAAUACAUGUAUGUUAAUAUUGACCUCUGUUAUUCAUUCAACAAUUAUAUUGUCUUUGGCUUAUCCCAGGGCCAUUGCAGACGGAUAGGAAGGUUCAAAUUUAAAUAAAGACUUUUUGUUUU
rnacentral:misc_RNA from 1 species